GACGAACGCUGGCGGCGUGCCUAAUACAUGCAAGUAGAACGCUGAAGGAGGAGCUUGCUUCUCCGGAUGAGUUGCGAACGGGUGAGUAACGCGUAGGUAACCUGCCUGGUAGCGGGGGAUAACUAUUGGAAACGAUAGCUAAUACCGCAUAAGAGUAGAUGUCGCAUGACAUUUGCUUAAAAGGUGCAACUGCACCACUACCAGAUGGACCUGCGUUGUAUUAGCUAGUUGGUGAGGUAACGGCUCACCAAGGCAACGAUACAUAGCCGACCUGAGAGGGGGAUCGGCCACACUGGGACUGGGACACGGCCCAGACUCCUACGGGAGGCAGCAGUAGGGAAUCUUCGGCAAUGGACGGAAGUCUGACCGAGCAACGCCGCGUGAGUGAAGAAGGUUUUCGGAUCGUAAAGCUCUGUUGUAAGGGAAGAACGAGUGUGGGAGUGGAAAGUUCACACUGUGACGGUAUCUUACCAGAAAGAGACGGCUAACUACGUG
rnacentral:rRNA from 1 species